GAGAGGAGACAUCUGUCUUUCUGAUGUGUAGCAUGAGGGCAAUGACCACACCAGGUCUUUGUACCUCCUCUAGUUAGAACUAGAAUCCCUUUCCUAUCUAUUAUGUAAAAGUAAGCUUUGACCAGAUCUGAAGCCUCAGUGAUUGUAGCAGAGUAAACAGCUGCUCCUUUACAGUUUACAGAUGAUGUAAAGAAACUGAACUGCUCUGUGCAUGGAGUACUUGCUUUGUAAUGGACCAAAGUUUGGUGACGGCAUUUCAGUGACAUCAUUCAUUUUGAGAAAAGGUGACAUGCUUUUGGAAUGACAUCAGUAUUCAAGAUAUUAGUAGCUCAUGGAAGAUUUGCUGCAACCUUUGGAAUUUAGAAGAUAUGCCCCAGUGCUAUCCAUAAUUGUUCUUGUUACUACCACUUUGAAAGGAUCUGAACAGGACACAGUCUUCUUUCUGUACAUAUGC